UAGGCACUAGGACCCAGCAGAGCAUUCUACUACAAAGAAGGUCUGGCAUGUUGAGUUCUGUGGCAGAGCAAUAUACAGCCCUACCAACAUCUUUUUCUGAGACAGACUAUCCCAGGUCCAGCAACGUUAUGUGAGGUUUUUAAGAAAACAUUGUUAGGAAUAUGACAUUAGGGAACUGACUCAUGAGAAUACAUUCAAACAAUGGGUUAAGCAUGGCCAAAAUAAUUGGGUGUUUCAGAGAGAGGCACACGCCCCCUCUUUAUGAAAGAAAAUACUUCAGGGUUCCUCAGUUUAUUUAUACAAAUGGGUUUCCAAAAGUAUAGCUAAAAUGAAAUGCAUCUUUCAGGCCAGUAGGUGGCAGUGGGUCUCUGGUUUUCUAAACUGGAGCUCCAGAAUAGGUUAGCACUGCCACAGAGACGUAUGUAACUAAACUACAACAGAUUGAAUCCCACCACCUUUUCCAUUUCCUGCCUCGCUGCAGUCCCCUGUUUUACAUCUCUUGUCCACGAAGGUCCCAUGAUCUCCAGCAUAGCCUUUUUAUCAGAAAAGAAAACACGCUGGCAGGAUCCAACCAAAUGAAUAAUGAAGAAGGGGGAGGAAUGGUUAUUGAUUGUAUUUAAUUCAUUAACAGAUGGGCAGCCCAAUCCAGAGGGUGGCCCUGAAUCCCCAUCUGGAGCCCUGUGCUGGCCUGGGUGCCCAUUCUGCCAGUGCAAGGGGCACAAGCGCUGGCAGAGGGGCAACUUACCCAGGUGGCUGGUCACCACCCAACCCUGAAGCCAUCACCCAGGCCCGCAGUUGCAAAGCGCUGCACUGGGGACAGGGCUGACCUUAGUCGAUCUCUACCACCUGGCUGAACCCUGUGCACUGGUGGAGAUACGUCACGUUACUUGUGGCUUACUCCUAUUUUCCCCUAUGGAGAAUUCUCAGGGCUUUGGGGGUCUUUUAAACUUUCUUGGGCUUCCUGCACUGCGGAAAAGCCCUUUGGAGAGGCCGGAGGGUGCCGCCCUCACCCACCGAGCUCUUCUGGAUUGCGCAGUUGGAAGACCAUGCCAAGAAAUGUUGGCAUAUGACAACUUCAGUUGUACAUACCCACUCCUAGCUCCUUUAAGACUGAGAUAUAUUAGGAUGAGUAGAAUCGGGUUGGCUCACUGAAGGCCUCACAGCAGAUCUGAGCUCAGAGGCACUGUCCCCUUACUCCUGAUAACCAUAAAGUUAAAUUAAGAUUCAGCAGCAAAUUUGUCUUCAGCUUUACUAGCAAAUAUUUGUUUUUCAAAGCAAGGUAGAUAGUAGUGUUGGUCUGCAGUAGAAGAGCAAGAUUUGAGUCUAGUAGCCUUAAGAGUCCAAAAAAAAAAUUCAGGGUAUAAACUUGCAAGGGUCAAAGCUCCCUUGAAUCUGAUGAAGGAGUUUUAACUCUCGAAAACUUAUACCCUGAAAAUUUUGUGGGUCUUUAGGUUCUACUGGACUUGAAUCUUCUAAAGCCGCAAGACACUCAAUAUCUUAAAAGGGAGUCCCAAGCUUACACAUUUGUUUUAAAAUGUUGUGUGAUCAUAUGCUUGGUAGCAAAGAUUGGUAUGCAGAACCACAAAUCCACAAGCAAGUUUCAGAUAUAAUACAGGUGCAAUGAAGGAGCAUUACAUAAACUACACAUGGAUAACAAUGUAAAUCUUAAAAUAUGUCACUUUAAAACUUUCACGAGUGAAAAAAGUACAUACAGCUAACCCAUAAAAUGGUGUAGACGACAGAGAACGGAGUUGCAGAAAGAAGUGUGAUAGUCUGAUUCAGUUUGUACCUCAUGUAAGAGGCAGCAAUUCGAUGCUUUCAUAUAAUCCCCAAAGGGCUAGAGCCGCUAGUCCAUUCUGCCUUUUUUUCAAUAACAUUUUAUCACUAAGGUGUUCAGAUCUAAUAAUAGCCCAAAAUGUCAAGUCUGUUGGACCACGGGUAUGCAAAGGGGCACCUGUUUUUUAAAGAUGGAUAUUAAUUUUGUAUUGUGCUAUGUGCAUUUUCAGUUUUCUCUAAAUAUUACCAACACCGAACUUCUUACCUGAUCAUACAUUGAUUGGUUUGUUCAAAAUUACGGACAGUGCAUUGUUUCUAAUUAUUCGGAUUAAUAAUUUUUUUUUCAUGCAGCUUGUAAACUUGCAGAAUGAAUAGUUUCCACAAGGACAGUGUUCUAAGGUGUCAAACCGGCUGAAGAAUGGCAGCAUUUGGUCCUGACUGCCUUGCCAUAACAAAACAAUAUCAGCUGUGAAGUACCAUGUUAUAAUAAGUUCCAAAAAAGGAUUCUCAGGAGGAUUAUCAGAAUGUUUGGUCAUGUGAUGCGAUCAAAUUCGCUAGAAAAAUCUAUGAUGCUCGGACUUCUCAGUGGCGGGAGAAGAUCUGGACGUCAAAGAAUAUGAUGGCUAAAUACCAUAAAAGCUGAUACAAGCAUGAACAUCAACCAGCUGAAGGAAGCAGUACUUAAUCGAAAAAUGUGGAAAGAGCUUGCAUAUCGGGUCGCCAAGGGUUGAGAACGACUGAAUGGAUAACAUCAUCGUCAUCACUGAUAAAUCUACUUAAUCUCCAGAUUUAGUGAAUUUUAUGACAUUGAUUUUGCAUUGACUUUCUGCUCUCUUGCCUUUUUUCCUGCUUAUACAUGUUCAAUAAAGAUCAAAUCAUCCCUCUA